UACGAAGGGGGCUAGCGUUGCUCGGAAUCACUGGGCGUAAAGGGUGCGUAGGCGGGUCUUUAAGUCAGGGGUGAAAUCCUGGAGCUCAACUCCAGAACUGCCUUUGAUACUGAGGAUCUUGAGUACGGGAGAGGUGAGUGGAACUGCGAGUGUAGAGGUGAAAUUCGUAGAUAUUCGCAAGAACACCAGUGGCGAAGGCGGCUCACUGGCCCGUAACUGACGCUGAGGCACAAAGCGUGGGGAGCGAACAGG
rnacentral:rRNA from 1 species